UAGCUCAGCCGGUAGCGCAGUUGACUUUUAAUUAAUGGGUCGCACAGGUUCGAGCCGAGCGAAGCGAGGCAACAGCGCGAGAGCGCUGGCCGGAAGGGCGAGGCCCCAGGCCGAGUCAUCCUGCACGACCCACCA
rnacentral:sRNA from 1 species